GAACCAGGCUGAGACAGGUUGGAAAUGCUCCAAUAAUUUCUACUCAGGGAGAACAGAAACGAAAGCCUUCCAGGAACCGCGCCUGCAGAACACAGAAGUGCUCAACAGAAGUGCGAAGAUGCUGCUGAGGACAGCUCCGCUGCCCCCGCUGUGAGGACUGCCCCCACCCGGGGCUGCACCCAGAGCUGCACCCAGAGCUUCCUUCCCUCCUUCAUUCCGACCCAGCCUUCCCAUGGGCCCAAGGGAGUGAAGGCAAAAGCUCCUUCUCAGCGUGUGGAUGCAGCCAGGGAGCAGUGGUGGAUGGCUACAUCCUGUGUCCCCAUGCCCACAGGAGGAGGGGUAGGGGCCAUUUCCUAAGCUGGGACCCAUGAGGUCCUGAGGCUGCAGCAGGAUCUGUCCCCAGGGCAAAGGGGCCCUAGGGCUCUGGUUGAUGGCCAGCAUUCCCCAGAACGUAUUCUCUGAGCCUGUGCACCAGCUCCCCGUUGCCACACUGAGACCCCCUUGGUGGCAUCAGCUGGCUCCUGAGACGAUGCCCCUGGUUCCGAGGAGCACUGAUGCAGUGGCUCCUGCUCAGGGCUGGAGGGUGCACUCUUCCUUCCUGAUGCAGAGCUCUGGCUAGAGGCAGGAGCAGCCUCCCCUGUGGAGGUGGGUGACCGGUGGCCAGCGAGGUGGGUUCUGUUGACUCCCUUCCACCGUGGGGCAUGUUUGUGCCUCCGCUUCCUCGGCGUCUGUUUUCGGACAGGUUUUGUGGCCAGAAACCUGGGACCCCCAUCUGUGCCUCUGCUUCC
rnacentral:lncRNA from 10 species